rnacentral:rRNA from 1 species
GACAGAGGCCCCAAGCGUUAGGCGGAAUCACUGGGCUUAAAAGCGUGUGUAGGCGGACGCCUAAGUGUCUUGUGAAAUCCCCACGGCUCACCCGUGGAACUGCUGGGCAUACUGGGCGUCUUGGGCCAACUAGGGGGCAGCCGGAACAAGCGGUGGAGCGGUGAAAUGCGUAGAUAUCGCUUGGAACGCCGAAGGUGAAAAACAGGCUGCUGGGGGUUGUGCCGACGCUGAGACACGAAAAGCGUGGGUAGCAAACAGG